rnacentral:rRNA from 1 species
UGCUAUACAUGCAAGUCGAGCGGAGCUUAGCCUUCCUUUGGAAGGCUCUGGCUUAGCGGCGGACGGGUGAGUAACACGUAGGCAACCUGCCCGUAAGACCGGGAUAACUUGCGGAAACGUGAGCUAAUACCGGAUAGAUAGGAAGAGCGCAUGCUUUUCUUAGGAAAGACGGAGCAAUCUGUCACUUACGGAUGGGCCUGCGGCGCAUUAGCUAGUUGGUGGGGUAAAGGCCUACCAAGGCGACGAUGCGUAGCCGACCUGAGAGGGUGACCGGCCACACUGGGACUGAGACACGGCCCAGACUCCUACGGGAGGCAGCAGUAGGGAAUCUUCGGCAAUGGACGGAAGUCUGACCGAGCAACGCCGCGUGAGUGAAGAAGGUUUUCGGAUCGUAAAACUCUGUUGCCAGAGAAGAAAGCUAAGGAGAGUCACUGCUCUUUGGUUGACGGUAUCUGAGAAGAAAGCCCCGGCUAACUACGUGCCAGCAGCCGCGGUAAUACGUAGGGGGCAAGCGUUGUCCGGAAUUAUUGGGCGUAAAGCGCGCGCAGGCGGCUGAGUAAGUCUGGUGUUUAAACCUGGGGCUCAACCUCGGGUCGCAUUGGAAACUGCUUGGCUGGAGUGCAGGAGAGGAAAGUGGAAUUCCACGUGUAGCGGUGAAAUGCGUAGAGAUGUGGAGGAACACCAGUGGCGAAGGCGACUUUCUGGCCUGUAACUGACGCUGAGGCGCGAAAGCGUGGGGAG